CGCACGAUGCUGCGGGUGCGGGCGCGGGCGAGGGCCUCGUCGGAGAGACGGUUCUUGCGGUCGGUGUUCAGCUCGCCGUUGUGCGCC
rnacentral:tRNA from 1 species